rnacentral:rRNA from 1 species
AACGUAGGACACAAGCGUUAUCCGGAGUUACUGGGCGUAAAGGGCGUGUAGGCGGGUCAGUAAGUCUAUUCUGAAAGCUCCUGGCUAAACUGGGAGAGGCGAAUGGAGACUGUUGGUCUAGAGUGAGGAAGAGGAAAGUGGAAUUCCGCGUGUAGUGGUGAAAUGCGUAGAGAUGCGGAGGAACACCAGUGGCGAAAGCGGCUUUCUGGUCCUUAACUGACGCUGAGGCGCGAAAGCAUGGGGAGCGAACGGG